AUAGCCCUGGAUAUUUAAACACAUGUGCAUAAUAAACCUGGAAAUAAAUGUAUGUUAUAUGCUAAGGCAAUAAUUUGAUUGAGUUAUGUUUCUUGGUCAGAGUAGUUCCAUUGUGGCUACCCAGUAUAUUAUAUAGUGAGGCCAAGAGCAUUAAGGAGAUGUAGCCAGAGGCUAAGGGUGUAAUGCCUCUUCCAUGGUAAUGUUUUUCAAAUAGUGCAUAAUAAACACCGAGGGAGCUUUUUAAAAAUGUGGGUUUUUCCCUUAGGUCUCCAACCUACAAAUUGAUUCGUUUAACGAUUAUAGUAGAAUCUGAUGCAUUCUCCAUUGAUCACAUUUUUGGCUAAAUUCAGUACUUUUCAACCUUUGCAGCACAUCUUUGCAACUUAAAAAAGAAAAAUGUCUUGAGUUGGAGCCAUGGGAUCUGCAUUUUAAGCUCUUCAGUCUGCUUAUUUUAAUUAGCAAAAAUAGAAGACCAUUGGCCAUAUGUUGAAAUGAGACAUAGUUGAAAUACUGAAAUAAGGGUAGUAGUAGUUGAAUUUUUUAUGGAACCUGGGAGUUUGAGGGGAGGGCUCAAAGUCAGUCAGCAUGGUGGAUAGGAUUCAUACACUUAACAAUGGAAGUAGCACAACAUUUUAUGAAACAGUUACCAUUA